UUCCCCUUCUUCGUUUUUCUUUCUUCUUCAGCCAUGAAACCGAGAGAGGAGAUCGAGACAGAGAAGAUUAAUGGAAGAUGAUUGAAGAUAGAAAUUGAGAAGGAUUUGAAGUAGAAGAUGUGAAUGCUUCCAUCGAUUAACAACAGGAAGAAUGGAAAUGGUCGUUGCUGUUUCAAGUGAAGAGUUAGGGUUUUGUUUCUGAAGAAUUUAGGUUCGUAGGAGUUGAACUAAUAUGGUUGAAUCUGGAGGACAUGGAUUGAGAAUCUAAGAAGAAAUUGGUGUUACUGUUACCAUGGGUUGAGAACCAAUCGAGAAAUUAGAAGGUGGUAUUGAUUGAGUUGCUGAGAUGGGUGAUUAGGUUCGGAUGGAGGAAUUUUUGAAGAUUAAUGUAGAAUUUAGGGUGUGUAGAAGAUGACUCCGGUGGUUGUUUGCCAUGAUUAAUUCAGAGAAGGAAAAGUCGAAUCUGAGAUGGAAAUGGAUUCAGGGUUUGAGUUUGAAUCAUGGGUUGCUGAGCUCGAGCACCUGUAGUGGGGUUUUGAUUUGAAUCUGAGAUUUGAAAGUGCUGGAUGAAGUUGUGAAAGGGAAUGGAGAUGUUGAUGUUCAUGGGUAUACACAGGAUGGCUAGAAGCCGUGAUAUUAGAUGAAGAAAGUUCAAAAGAAGCAAUCAGUAACAGAGAUUGAUGAAUGGAGGUUCUUGAGAUGUGAAUUGAAGAAAAUGAAAUGCUGGGUGUUAGCAAAGAUUCAGAUGGCUGUUGGUGAUUGUGAACUGCGUUGAACAAAUAUAAAGGAGAAGUGAGUCAGGUGAAAGAGGAAAAGUUGGUUAAAGCCGCCAAGAAAAGUGCUGCGAUUUUGGAUCAGCAUCUCCCUGACCAAUAUAAGACAAACUACCAUGUAUUGGAGCAUGGAGGUGAAAUCUAUGAUGCAAUGUUGAACCAAACAAAAUCUCUCAGAUGAUAAUAAUAAGUUCUACGUGAUUCAAGCUCUUGAAUCAGACGGCUGGCGACGUCCAACGGGGAGGUGAUGCAGUUCCUGCUCCAGCCCUUGCUGCUGGUGGGGAUUGGACUGAUACAGUUGUUCCUGCGGCAGGAGUGGAUGUAUCUUUGGAGUCAGCGGCGGCAUCAUCCCUCCAGCUGCAAGUUGGGAAUGAGGGGUGCAGUAAUGUCUUAUAUUUUUUGCCGGCCUUUUCUCAUGUACUCAAGGUGUUCUAUCGAACCUUGGUUUCUAUGUUGAGCUAAUUUUGUUUUAAUAGUUGAAAAGAUAUUUUAGUUUUCUUCGCUCCAUACCUUGAACCUUUCUUAUUUUAAUAGCAGAUUCCUUUCGUUUGGGAAUGAGGUUCUUCGCACUUGAGAAUUGUAGUUAGUGGUUUUGAGGAUUAUUUGAGCCUUGUUUUUUUUUUUGCUCGUCACUUUUAUGUUCGGAGUAUGUUGCCUUCUGAGUUUAGGGUUGUAACUACUUUAGCUAGCGAGUGAUAGUUUCAGAGAGAGUUGGUGUUGAGAAUCUAAAGAUCUGAAUAUAAGAUUUUUUAUUUUAUUUUAUCAGCUUAAUUCAAUUUUGUUUUACUAA